rnacentral:miRNA from 17 species
UCUGUCAUUCUGUAGGCCAAUA